UUUAGGAUUUUUAUCAGACUCACUACUUCCUUGGAUCUCAGCUUGUUUCCCGAGUUGCAACAGGAUGAAACGACCAGAACAGUGUUUCUGAACUUAUCUAAGUGGCAAACCAAUCCAAGACUAUCAUCAUUGUGAGCAGUAAUGGUGCAAGUUGCACGUGUCAUCUACAUUGUUAAGUUUCCAGCUGGUAUGUGUGACAAGAGAAUAAACAAAAAGCAUGAGUUCAUUUCCACCCAUCA